rnacentral:ncRNA from 1 species
CCUAGUCUUUAACUAGGCCACAAGCUAAUUAAUAGUAUUUGUUUUAAAACAAAUCAUAAAAUUCAACCACAACAAUUAGUAGGCUAGUUCUGAAUCUUGAAGUGGUGGUGAUUUACUUUUAAUUAAUUAGCUAUAACCA